AACUUUUAACAAUGGAUCACUUGGUUCUGGCAGCGAUGAAGAACGCAGCGAAAUGCGAUAAGUAAUGUGAAUUGCAGAAUUCAGCGAAUCAUCGAAUCUUUGAACGCACAUUGCGCCCCUUGGUAUUCCCAGGGGCAUGCCUGUUCGAGCGUCAUUAUAACCACUCAAGCCUCGGCUUGGUCUUGGGGUUCGCGGUCUCGCGGCUCUUAAAAUCAGUGGCGGUGCCGUCUGGCUCUAAGCGUAGUAAUUCUCUCGCUAUAGGGUCCAGGUGACCACCUGCCAGAACCCUCCAUUCUUUACGGUUGACCUCGGAUCAGGUAGGGAUACCCGCUGAACUUAAGCAUAUCAAUAAGCGGAGGCU
rnacentral:misc_RNA from 1 species